AGAGAGAGAGAGAGAGAGAGCGCGGUACUGAGAUCUGUCCUUCCUGUGAGCAGGUGUGAUGCAGUGUGUGUGAGAGUGUGUGUGAGAGUGUGUGUGAGAGUGUGUGUGAGAGUGUGUGUGAGAGUGUGUGUGAGAGUGUGUGUGAGAGUGUGUGAGAGAGUGUGUGAGAGAGUGUGUGAGAGAGUGUGUGUGAGAGUGUGUGUGAGAGUGUGUGUGAGAGUGUGUGUGAGAGUGUGUGAGUGAGUGUGUGAGUGAGUGUGUGAGUGAGUGUGUGAGUGAGUGUGUGAGUGAGUGUGUGAGUGAGUGUGUGAGUGAGUGUGUGAGUGAGUGUGUGAGUGAGUGAGUGAGUGUGUGAGUGUGUGAGUGAGUGAGUGAGUGUGUGUGAGUGUGUGUGAGUGUGUGUGAGUGUGUGUGAGUGUGUGUGAGUGUGUGUGAUGUGUGUGAGUGUGUGUGAGUGUGUGUGAGUGUGUGUGAGUGUGUGUGAGUGUGUGUGAGUGUGUGUGUGUGUGAGUGUGUGUGUGAGGUAC
ensembl:lncRNA